rnacentral:rRNA from 1 species
UGGGGAAUUUUGGACAAUUGGGCGAAAGCCUGAUCCAGCAAUGCCGCGUGUGUGAAGAAGGCCUUCGGGUUGUAAAGCACUUUUGUCCGGAAAGAAAUCCUUGGCUCUAAUACAGUCGGGGGAUGACGGUACCGGAAGAAUAAGCACCGGCUAACUACGUGCCAGCAGCCGCGGUAAUACGUAGGGUGCAAGCGUUAAUCGGAAUUACUGGGCGUAAAGCGUGCGCAGGCGGUUUGCUAAGACCGAUGUGAAAUCCCCGGGCUCAACCUGGGAACUGCAUUGGUGACUGGCAGGCUAGAGUAUGGCAGAGGGGGGUAGAAUUCCACGUNUAGCAGUGAAAUGCGUAGAGAUGUGGAGGAAUACCGAUGGCGAAGGCAGCCCCCUGGGCAAUACUGACGCUCAUGCACG